GCUUUCCCCAUAACUGCAGGACAAUUCUGUUCAGCUUUCUGCUGCCAUACAGCAAAGAUGUCUCUUCCUUCCCUUUCACAUAGCAUGGAAAACUUCCUGCUGAGCCCUCACCAAUAGCACCUUUAAUAUCCAUAUUUCUACUAACAGUGUGUUCAGGACAAUUUUGAUCUUCUUUAAGAUGAUGUGCGGUUCCUCUUUAAUGCUCCUUCAUUGAUCUAAAACUACUAUGAUUUAUUUUGAUACUGGUGUAGGGCAGAAAAGAUUUCUUUUCUCACCCAUGACUAGCCUUGUAGCUAAGACACCUAUGACAAAAGACAGAUUAACAAAAGAAAAGCAUACACAUUUUAAUGUAAGUUUUAUGUGACACGGGAGCCUUCAGAAAUGAAGACCUAAAGAAAGAGGUAAACUCGUGCAUUUUUAUGCUUAGGUUUGAUGAAGGGUAGACAGCUAUAAAGUGUGAUUGUAUGAGUGGUCUUAACUCAUUAUAAUAGACUGGGGACAACUUAACAAGGCUUGUUUUUUUUCAGAUUCUUCUAGGCAUCCGGUGUCUUCAGAGAUAAGGAUAUUAAUGAGGGCCUGACAACCCUCAUUCAGAUGAAGGUCAGAGAAUUCUUUUAUGGCCUGCUUUAGCUUUAUUCUUCAGAAGAACCCAUUUUUGUAUGUUGGAUCUCUUUUAUCUAGUGUCCAAUCAUUGUAAUUUCUAUGUACCAUUGUUUAUUUCACUUCAUUUUAUAUAAUUUUCUCAAAUCUGCCUCUACAACCUGAUGAUCUAAUGUUUUGUUUACUGAAAUAUAUCUUUCACCUCUAUAAUGGUAUUAUUUUUCCCUUUUCAAUCUUUCUUACAGUCUACCAGCUCACUUUUAUUUUUUGUGGUAUAAUUUACAUGAAAAAAAGUCAGCCAUUACUGUUGUAUGAGUGUUAAAAAAUGUAUAAAUGUGUGUUACCACCACUACACACAGCAAAAGACAGAAUCAUCUUGAGCACAUUCAAAGUUCCUAUGAACCCCUUUGUAGGCAAUCUACUUUCCCAUCCUAAGGCCUUGGCAACCACUAAACUUUUUUGAUUAGAUAGUUUUGUUUUUUCCAAAAUACCACAUAAAUGAAAUGGUACAGAAUAUGAUGUUGAGUCUUGUUUCUUUUACUUAGCAUACUACAUUUUUAAUACAACAAUAUUGCUUUGUUCAGCAAUAUUGUUCUUCUUUAAUAUCUGUUCUUCUUUAAUGCUGAAUAAUAUUCCAUUGCAUGAAUGUAACAGUUGUUCGUUUAAUCCACUCAUCAACUGAAGGACAUUUAGAUUAUUGCCAUUUGUUGGUGAUUAUGAAUAAAGCCUUAAAAACAUGCAGUGCACAUACAGCUUUUCGUGUGAAUAUGACUUUUUAUCUUUGUCAUAUAAUGAAUAGUGAGAUUGUUAAACUCUAUGCUAAAUGUAACUUUAUCUAUAUAUAUAAAAUUUUUAUAAAGCUUUUAAAUAAGAGUUAGGAGAUAUACCUAAUGCUAAAUGACGAGUUAAUGGAUGCAGCACACCAGCAUGGCACAUGUAUACAUAUGUAACUAACCUGCACAUUGUGCACAUGUACCCUAAAACUAUAUAAUAAUAAUAAAAUAAUUUAAAAAAAAGAGUUUGUAAAACUUUAUACAAACUACUAAACUCUUUUCCUGAGUGGUCAAACCAUUCUGCAUUUUCACCAGCAAUGUAUGAGCCCGUCAUUUCACAUUCUCACCAGCAGCUGGUAUUGUCAGUUUUUAGAACUCCAUCGUAAUUGGUGUAUAGUGGUAUCUCAUUGUAGUUUUAAGUUGUAUUUCCUUAAUGACUAACCAUGUUGAUUUUCUUUUUAUGUGUUUAUUUGCUCUCUACAUACGUAUCUCAUCUUUGGUUAAAUGUCUGUUCAAAUCCUUUUCCCAUUGCUUUUACCUGGAUAUUUGAUUUCGUAUCGUUUAUGUUUGAGUGUUCUCUGUAUAGUCUGAAUAUAUAUGCAGAGGUAUUUUCCAUGAAUAUUUUCUCAAAAUUUAUGUAUUUACUUUUCCUUCUAUUAACAAUGUUGUUCAAAGAACAGCAGGUUUUAAGUGUGAUGAUGUCUAAAUAUUAUUUUUUCUUCCAUUUAUCAUAUUUUUGGUGUCAUAUCUAAAAACUAUUUGCCUUCUUCAAUGUCAAAAAUACCAUUUUCUCUGUUUCCUUUUGGAUGUUUUAUAGUUUUAGGCUUUACGUUUUGGUGUAUAAUUCCUUGGAGUUAAUUUUUGUAUUUGAUGCGGGUAUAGGAAAAUGUUCUUUGCCUUAUUUAUUUUAUUUUAUUUUUUUUUUGAGACGGAGUCUUGCUCUGUCACCCAGGCUGGAGUGCAGUGGCGAUCUCCGCUCACUGUAACCUCUGCCUCCUGGGUUCAAGUGAUUCUCCUCCCUCAGUCUUUCCAGUAGCUGGGAUUACAGGCACGUGCCACCACGCCCUGCUAAUUUUUUUUAUUUUUAGUAGAGACGGAGUUUUACCGUGUUAGCCAGGAUGAUCUCGAUCUCCUGACCUCGUGAUCCGCCUGCCUCGACCUCCCAAAGUGCUGGGAUUACAGGAAUGAGACACCACGCCCAGCCAGUUAUUUGUCUUUAGUUGCAUGUAGACGUCCAAUUGUUCCAGCUCCUUCUGUUGAAAAGACUCUUUUUAUAUAUAAUUACUUUUUUUCACCUUUUUCACCUUUUUCACCUUUGUCUUUUUGAAUUUCUUUCAUCAGUGUUUUAUAGUUUUCACCACAGAGGUCUUGUGCAUAUUUUGAUAGAUUUUUUAUUUAAAUAUUUCAUUUUG
rnacentral:lncRNA from 1 species